rnacentral:tRNA from 1 species
CCAAGGCGUAUCCGACUAGUUCCGGGUUCGAGUCCCGGGCAACCCAUACGGA